CUUCACUCUUGCAGGUGCCCUCAAGGCACGACUGCAGCACUUGCUGACUCGGACCUUUUCCUUUUCACCUUCUGCAAGUAGCCAUGAAUCCAGGCAGUGACGCAGAGCACAGACCUGCGAGCGUGCCCAAGCUGGCUAGGGGGAAGGAGGAGAAAGAAGGCCCUGGAGCUGCCCCAGCACAGCAGCCUGAAGAGGUGGAGCAGUUCCAGCCACUGCAGAAGGGUGAGUGGCAGAGCUGGGCCACAGGGCUGGUGCCUGCAGCCAGCUUGGCCCCAUGCCAUGCCAUGCCAUGCCAUGCCAUGCCAUGCCAUGCCAUGCCAUGCCAUGCCAUGCCAUGCCAUGCCAUGCCAUGCCAUGCCAUGCCAUGCCAUCCCAUGCCAUCCCAUGCCAUCCCAUCCCAUCCCAUCCCAUCCCAUCCCAUCCCAUCCCAUCCCAUCCCAUCCCAUCCCAUCCCAUCCCAUCCCAUCCCAUCCCAUCCCAUCCCAUCCCCUGGGGCCAUGCCCAUGGACAGGAUGGAAUAGGGGCCGGGCAGACACCCCACAGCCGUGCUCCAUGCCCUGGGGCGGCGCGGGGCUGUCCCUGCCUGGGCAGCGCAGGGCUGGGCUGUGUUGUCCGGCCUCUCCCGCAGCCCCUCAGCUCGGGCUGCGCUCGCUCUUUGCCAGGUGCAGCCGUGCAGCGCACACGAGAGCAGGAACGCACCCGUGGCCGCUUCCGCAGAACAGCGCAGGUACCUGCAGCCAUCCCCACCUGGGCUGGGCCUGCUGGCACUGCUCAGCCCAGCACUGUGCUCCGAGCACUCCAUGCAACAUCCCGGGCUUCUUGCCCUUCUGCUACAGAUGGUUUGCAAAUUCAUGAAGAGGAUUCGGGAGGAAGAGAGCAGCGUCGUGGGCACUGUGGUCAGAGCGUACUCUCCCAUCUUCAAAACCAAGACCAGUGCUGCCCUGCUGGAUAUGCUUGUGGAGGAGGGUCCUUCCAGCCCAAAGCAAGUGAGCAGCCUGUGGGACAGAGGCACAGCCCUGUGACGUGGUGAUGGCUCUCCUGCGUGUGGCCCCAGUGUGUGACAGGUACGGGGCCCACGUGUCCACAAGGCUCAGCAGCCCUUCACCCUGUACAGCCUGUCCCAGGUGUCUGACCAACAGAGAAGUCCAGGGCCCUCUGGCUGCUCCCUUUGCCAGCCCUGGUCCCUGCCAGCCCCGCAGCGUGCUGCCAUGCUUCCCCCCUGCCCCUCAGGGGCCAGUCCCCACAGGGCUGGGCUGCCUG
rnacentral:lncRNA from 1 species